UACGAAGGGGGCUAGCGUUGCUCGGAAUCACUGGGCGUAAAGGGUGCGUAGGCGGGUCUUUAAGUCAGAGGGGAAAUCCUGGAGCUCAACUCCAGAACUGCCUUUGAUACUGAGGAUCUUGAGUCCGGGAGAGGUGAGUGGAACUGCGAGUGUAGAGGUGAAAUUCGUAGAUAUUCGCAAGAACACCAGUGGCGAAGGCGGCUCACUGGCCCGGUACUGACGCUGAGGCACGAAAGCGUGGGGAGCAAACAGG
rnacentral:rRNA from 1 species